rnacentral:rRNA from 1 species
AUGGUGUGUGGACACAGCGACGAGUCUCUGUUACAUGCUCUAGUUUUGUGUGUUCAUGCAACAAUGUUUUGGGACGAGGCAACGAGAUUCUUCGGACUGACCUUGCCUCGGCUACACCCAGAUACAUGGACUAGAGACCUUCUGGAUCAUCAGUUCAUCAAGAAGGAAAAUGCGGCAAUUGUUAUCUCUGUCAUGUGGGUGAUCUGGAGUAGCAGAAAUAAGUAUAUGCAUGGACAAGCACUAUACCAAUCCCGACGCUCUAUGAAGAUUAUACAUGAGAUGAUUAGAUCUCUGAAUAUUCCCAGUGUGCAACACACCGAGCAGAAGAAGAAUGCAGUAUGGAGACCACCAGAGGAUGGAAGAGUUAAUACACUGAUGCAGCCAUGGGUACGAAUGUGGGGGCGGCUGGUGCGGCAAUGGUGGCUCGGAAUCACGAAGGAAAUCUUCUGGUCGGAAGUGCAUCAGGGAGUAGCGGGUCCCUAUAUUGGUGAAGCACUGGCUUGCAGGGAUGCUAUGCUCUUUGGGAUUGGGCAAGGAUGGACAAGUGUGGAGAUUGAAACGGACAGCCAAGUUUUUGUGGAAGAUUGGAAAGAAAGGAGAGAUAAAUACGUGGGCGGUCUCACUAUCAGAGAGAUGACCACCUAUCUCUUGUUUUUUCUGGGGUUCGAAUUAAAAUUUAAGGAAAGGGAAGUGGACAUGCCACCACUUCUUCUUCGGUACAACCCCUAA